GCACUGGUGGUUCAGUGGUAGAAUUCUCGCCUUCCACGUGGGAAAUCCUGGUGGGUUCCAUUCCUGGCCAAUACA
rnacentral:tRNA from 1 species